rnacentral:tRNA from 1 species
GGAGGGGCUGCAGCUCUGUGGCAGCAUCUGCUUUGCAUGCAGAAGGCUACAGGUUCAAUUCCUGGCCUUUCCA